UGUCUGGCUUCCUGUGAAGUUCAUGGUGAUAAAUUGAGUGAUUGAACAUUAUUAAGAGGCUGGGAAUCAGGACAUGAAGGUACCAACUGUGAGCACAACUGCUCCCUGCUCAUCCGUUUUCAAAGUGCCCAGUGAAAAAGGAGUCUUCCUGCUUGCAGCUUGCCAGAGAAAUCAUACCAGCCUCUUUCCUGCCUGACAUCCUGGUUCUUCUAGCACUGGUAGGGCAUGGUGGGACGUUCUGGAGCAGACAAACUGGGAUGACUGGAAGGAUGGGAAAAAUGAGAAAGUCACCAUCAAGCAGGAUCUGCUACUCUCUGCUGUCUUCGCUCAUACCUAAACAAAGUGAGGAAGCCUCUAUGAGAACAUUGGUGGCAAUAAGUACGUUCUUCCCUUGUUUGUCUUUGGGACAGCUCAGUCUCUCACACGGAGCAGCAAUGUUAUUAAAGAAGAUUCAGUAUAAAGCAUGAAAAACCCAAGAUAAUAAUUGUUGAACCAUUACACUGAGGAGUUCCAGCAAGAUUAUUUCAAAGAGAAAAUGAUGCCUGUGCAGGGAGGGUGUCUGGGGACUGGCUGGGAAAGAGGGAAGAAUAGGCUUAAAUACUGCAGCCGCCUUCCUUGUUGUUUCUUACCUGUUAGAUAAGAUGUUGUAUGGCUGUGCAGGUUCAGCCUGACCUGAGCUGCGCACCUUCUACCAGGGUUUGAAACUGUCAGCUAGGAAACACGGCCUGUGAUGGUUGGGGCAUUGCAGGCAUAUGUGUGCUGGGUAAGUGGAAGGCAAGAGGGGUUGUAGGGCAAGAGGGAAUGGAGCAAGGGGUGUAAAGAAGAAGAGAGGGUGGUCUUGUGGCUUGGAUGCUAACUUGGGUCUUGGGAUGGUACCCGCUUGCUGUUGUUGAUGAAGACUUUGUUUAACAGAACCCCUGUUUUGUUUAACAGAAUAAAUAUUGUGAAUAUAAGUAUUUGCAAUAAAUAUCCCUUGAGCAAAAGGAAAGAAAGCACAAGCAGGCAGAAGCCUUGCUACCUCCUUUUCCACGCACAUUUGGGCUUCCUCACUUUGAGGAAUCCCACUGUAGUGAGAGGUCAAAGCACAGGAGCCAUGAAGGCUUUGUUAUUUUUCCUUCCUGUGCUUCUUAAGCGGUGAUGCCCAUGAGAUUAGUGU